GCACGGAUUAGCCGCAUCCUUAUUCUACAGUACCGCUCAAACUGGUUCACGAACCAGUGUUUCUUCCUGUACAAAAGCAGUUUACAAUCCAUAGGACCGUCAUCCUGCACGCGGCAUGGCUGGAUCAGGCUUGCGCCCAUUGUCCAAUAUUCCUCA
rnacentral:rRNA from 1 species